rnacentral:Y_RNA from 1 species
GGCUUGUCCAAGUGCAAUGGUGUUUACAAUUAGCUGAUCACAGCCAGUCACAGAUGCCUUGGCUCCUUCUCCACUCCCACUGUUUCACUUUGAUAGGAGUCAG